CGUUUGACCUCGGAUCAGGUAGGGAUACCCGCUGAACUUAAGCAUAUCAAUAAGCGGAGGAAAAGAAACCAACAGGGAUUGCCCUAGUAACGGCGAGUGAAGCGGCAACAGCUCAAAUUUGAAAUCUGGCUCUUUCAGAGUCCGAGUUGUAAUUUGCAGAGGGCGCUUUGGCUUUGGCAGCGGUCCAAGUUCCUUGGAACAGGACGUCACAGAGGGUGAGAAUCCCGUACGUGGUCGCUAGCUAUUGCCGUGUAAAGCCCCUUCGACGAGUCGAGUUGUUUGGGAAUGCAGCUCUAAAUGGGAGGUAAAUUUCUUCUAAAGCUAAAUAUUGGCCAGAGACCGAUAGCGCACAAGUAGAGUGAUCGAAAGAUGAAAAGCACUUUGGAAAGAGAGUCAAACAGCACGUGAAAUUGUUGAAAGGGAAGCGCUUGCAGCCAGACUUGCUUGCAGUUGCUCAUCCGGGCUUUUGCCCGGUGCACUCUUCUGCAGGCAGGCCAGCAUCAGUUUGGGCGGUGGGAUAAAGGUCUCUGUCACGUACCUUCCUUCGGGUUGGCCUUAUAGGGGAGACGCCAUACCACCAGCCUGGACUGAGGUCCGCGCAUCUGCUAGGAUGCUGGCGUAAUGGCUGUAAGCGGCCCGUCUUGAAACACGGACCAAGGAGUCUAACAUCUAUGCGAGUGUUUGGGUGUCAAGCCCGAGCGCGUAAUGAAAGUGAACGGAGGUGGGAACCCGCAAGGGUGCACCAUCGACCGAUCCUGAAGUUUACGGAAGGAUUUGAGUAAGAGCAUGGCUGUUGGGACCCGAAAGAUGGUGAACUAUGCUUGAAUAGGGUGAAGCCAGAGGAAACUCUGGUGGAGGCUCGCAGCGGUUCUGACGUGCAAAUCGAUCGUCAAAUUUGGGCAUAGGGGCGAAAGACUAAUCGAACUAUCUAGUAGCUGGUUCCUGCCGAAGUUUCCCUCAGGAUAGCAGUAACGUAUUCAGUUUUAUGAGGUAAGCGAAUGAUUAGAGGCAUGGGGGUUGAAACA
rnacentral:rRNA from 1 species